UCUCUCUCAGUCGCCUCCCUCGAUCAGGCGUGGUGGAGAGCGGGGCCCGCAGGAGGCAAGGAGCUGCACGCCUCCCGCCCCGCAACACUAUCCAUUCAUUUCUCCGCCCGAUUCAUUCGCAGCUGAGCUAAGCGAAACCGACGGGAGACCCUUCGGGGCGGAGGCCUGUCACGGCUUCUGCCGCGGCCGCCCUCCUUCCCUGUCUCCUCCUCGGCUGCCUUGGCUUUGCGCGGCGGAGCCCAUCAGCUUCCCAGCAGCUGCCGCCAGUUAGGCUGCCUGCGAGCCACCGGACUCCGGCCCGGCCACGCCUCCCUCUCCCGUCGCCUCCUCGACUCCCCCAAAGAUCCCCGCAGAACUUCGCCCCUCCUCGCAGCCUCCGCGGGUGGUGGUGGUGGUGGUGGUGGGGCUGCUGGACUAUCCGGGAGGUGCAUCGAGGCGGGCCCUGUCUCUGGCUGCCUGUGCGCUUGCUGAGAGGGUUCUGCUACAGGGCCCCAGUUGGGUGCCUCCGAUGCUGGGGGGCGGGCGGGCGGGAGGCUGGAAAGGGCAUCCAGUGUGCGGGGUGGAGGGGCGCAACGGGGAGGCUGCUGCUGCGGCGGCGGCGGCGGCUGCUCCUUCUACCCUUCAAGGCUGACUGCACUGGCUGCCGCCGCCGUCAAAGAAGUGCUGGGUGCUGUACAAAGCUCCGCAGAGAUUCAGUUCCCAUGCGGAGGGCUGGUCAUUACCAAGGCAGGGGCUGGAGUGACCCACAGAGCCUUCAGAAAGAGCAAAACAGAACAUUAACUAAAAACAGGAAAUGGAAUAUUUCUUCUUUGGAUUGCAUUCUCUUCAUCCACUUCCUUCUUGGCUGUCACUGCUGGCCUGAACAACCCAUGGCCUCAAAACGGGGUCUGCAGAAUGUCAGGUCUUCUUCACCGGGAUGGAAGGAAGGCGGAUGAAUGGAAGCAGCAACUUACAGUGGAGGUUGCUGUCACAGCUGCAUCCGGUGUGUGGUGCAGGGGCCGUGAAGCCUCUCAGCAUUCAGCCUCCAUCAGCACCCCCCUCCUCCCAAUAGGAGAAGCAGCCUUCAUCACUUCACCAGGUUUAUUUGGGGAGCUGGAAGACUCCGAGGGCUCAAUGCGGCAAGACCUUCUCCUAUGCAAACCACAGGGAGAGGAAAGGGAGUUGUGCAAGAACACCGUCAUUUCCACCGUGGGGGCAAACAGGCUAAAGCCCCACCAGACUUCUCUCUGAUGAACCAUUCCAGGCCCCCACAGCUUCAGUCCUGAUCCUGGGGCAUGUUGGUGCAUGGAAGUUUCUUCUUUUCUUUUCUUUUGUGUAACAAGAGUCAGCCAGUUCAUGGAGGGUCCAUCUAUCAAUGGCCAUUCGUCAUUCUGGAUAUGUGGAGGAAUCAGUGUACUGAUUGCGGGGGGUGGGGCAAACAGAAAAGGGGGCUGCAGUCUUUAUAACACCGACACCAACAAAUAUAUAUCACUUUUCAACAAAUGUUUCCAAAGCGGUUUACAUAGAGAAAUAACAAAUAAAUAAAUAAGAUGGCUCCCUGUCCCCAAAGGGCUCACAAUCUAAACAGAACCAUAAGAUAGACACCAGCAACAGUCACUGGAAGUAUUGUGCUGGGGGUGGAUUGGGCCAGUUACUCCCCCCCCUGCUAAAUAAAGCCCAUGCCUCCAGGGCUGGCCACUGCAGGAAGCAGGAGAGUGGGACUGGUUUGGUCUGAUCCAGCA